AGUCUCGUAGCGUAGUGGUAAAUCUGUAAGCUUAUAACGUAUAGGCCUUGAGUUCGAUUCUUCGUAGAGUCUA